rnacentral:rRNA from 1 species
UACGUAGGGGUCCGAGCGUUUGUCCGGAAUUACUGGGCGUAAAGAGCUCGUAGGUGGCCUGUCGCGUCGGCUGUGAAAACUCGGGGCUCAACUCCGAGCUUGCAGUCGAUACGGGCAGGCUAGAGUUCGGCAGGGGAGACUGGAAUUCCUGGUGUAGCGGUGAAAUGCGCAGAUAUCAGGAGGAACACCGGUGGCGAAGGCGGGUCUCUGGGCCGAUACUGACACUGAGGAGCGAAAGCGUGGGGAGCGAACAGG